UACAGAGGGUGCGAGCGUUGUUCGGAAUUACUGGGCGUAAAGCGCGCGCAGGCGGCCCUUUAAGUCCGUCGGUCAAAUGCCGGGGCUCAACCCCGAGCGUGCCGAGGAUACUGGAGGGCUGGAGACACGUAGAGGCAAGCGGAAUUCCGGGUGUAGCGGUGGAAUGCGUAGAGAUCCGGAAGAACACCGGAGGCGAAGGCGGCUUGCUGGGCGUGAUCUGACGCUGAGGCAUGAAAGCGUGGGGAGCAAACCGG
rnacentral:rRNA from 1 species